UUAUGCCUAGAGCUUAGGAUAUGUUGUCAAGUUAUGAUGCCCCUGGACUGUGUGAGUGUCAGUAGACUACUUCACAUGGGGUUUAAUAGGCAAUUCAAGUUCUUAGGUACACAACUCAGCUUCUGAAUAGUCAAAUUUGUACUUAAAAAGGAAUUUUAAGAUUGAGAGGUCCUCAAGUUCUUGAAGUGCUUACGCAAUGUGCAAAUUAGAAAUUCUGGGAGAUUUACAUGCGGAUGAAGCUAUACAUUUGUUAUUUUAUUUCAUUUUUGGAUAAAGAUAAAAUUUUGUUUGAUGAAAAGAGAGAAUACAAGCGUAGGUGGACAAGGAGUCCAAACACCCUAAAACAAAUGGAAAUAAAAGGUAAACAACUCUCCAAUCUCUACAACAACCAGACACAAAAUAUCCCUAAGGCACCCUGGUAGAGACCCAUAAAGAAGGAAGAAAAAAAAUAUCAUACCCAAAAAUAAAACGAAAUAUAAAUAGCUCUCUCUAAAAGGAGCAUUAAGCUCAGUUUAGAUUCCAAAAAAAAGAACACAGCGCACACUUCCGAUUUCCAAAGCAGCUUAGUAUCCUUCCUCUCGAACCUUUGUUUCUUGUGAGCAUCAUAUCCACGGAGGUUACACACCUCUCCUUGCUCAACCCUCGAGAAAUAGAGUUACAUGAACCUCAAACAACUAAGAAUGUAAAACUCAAUAAGAGUGCCCCUCGUCAUUAUGCUUACACAACACAAAUGUCUGCAGAUAGAGCCGCGCCUUUGUAGUUAGUCAACAAGAGAGUAGAGACCAAAUAAAUGCCUUGAAGAUGAAGCUAUACUAUUGGUGAAAUUACCAUGUAUAUAUAUUCCUGGGGUAAAAGAAGAAAAUUAUGAAAAAGAAAAAAAACUACAAAAAAGGAGGACAAUUAAUUUUCUAAAAUUCAAAAUAAAAGGUUAAAUUUACGAAGUCCUGAAAACAGGACAGCCCUAAGAGCCCAAUGAACAUUUGAGAUGGUAGCCCAAAUUAGGGCACCCAUUCCAAAUUAGGGCACAUGAAGCAUAUAUGGACACUAUUCCAACACAUUGAAAGUAAUUUUCAGAUAGAGAGGGCCAUGGGUUGUUAGAGUCAUGGGCGUAGGUAGGAAUUCGAGUGGGAGGGGGCAGAAAAAAAUUCCAGCACUAAAAGAUAUUAAUAUAAUUUUAUAUAGAGGAAAAAUAAAGUUUUAUAUAUUUUUAGUUUUAACACACAUGAAUUCAUUUAUAUCAAUGAGUUUUAAUAUAUUAAAGUAAAGUGUUUUUCAAAUGCGUUAAAUACACGUCAUCAUGGU
rnacentral:lncRNA from 1 species